UCUUCAGAUGAUUCUCAAUGAUAAGCUGUCGAGCGUUUUGUCUCAAGCUGCAAAUGACAAAACGCUCGACAGCUUAUCAUUGAGAACCAUGCUGUACGGA
rnacentral:pre_miRNA from 1 species